UACAGAGGAGCCAAGCGUUGUCCGGAUUGACUGGGCGUAAAGCGCACGCAGGCGGAUGCGCGCGUGGGGUGUGAAAUCUGGCCGCUUAACGGCCAGGCGCCAUCCCAUACGGCGCGUCUGGAGUGAUGCAGAGGUCGAUGGAAUUGCCGGUGUAGUGGUGAAAUGCGUAGAUAUCUGGAGGAAUACCGGUGGCGAAGGCGGCAUCCUGGACCGACAUUGACGCUGAACGGCGAAAGCUAGGGGAGCAAACGGG
rnacentral:rRNA from 1 species